GUGCCUACGGGGCGCAGCAGUGGGGGAUAUUGCACAAUGGGGGGAACCCUGAUGCAGCGACGCCGCGUGAGCGAAGAAGUACCUCGGUAUGUAAAGCUCUAUCAGCAGGGAAGAAAAUGACGGUACCUGACUAAGAAGCCCCGGCUAAAUACGUGCCAGCAGCCGCGGUAAUACGUAUGGGGCAAGCGUUAUCCGGAUUUACUGGGUGUAAAGGGUGCGUAGGUGGCAGGGCAAGUCAGAUGUGAAAGCCCGGGGCCCAACCCCGGUACUGCAUUUGAAACUGUCCGGCUGGAGUGCAGGAGAGG
rnacentral:rRNA from 1 species